rnacentral:sRNA from 1 species
GUUUUUAACGAGGCAGUACGUAACUCAUCAAAAGUGAUGGAUACUCAAGGGGGAGUGUUAUUAACCGGAUAAGUAUGGAUGUGAUUAUUCAUCACUCAUCUCUAUCCCUAAUAU